rnacentral:rRNA from 1 species
AGAGUUGAUCCUGGCUUAGGAUGAACGCUAGCUACAGGCCUAACACAUGCAAGUCGAGGGGCAGCAUGGGAGAAGCUUGCUUUCCUGAUGGCGACCGGCGAAUGGGUGAGUCACGCGUGUCCAACCUGCCUCCGGCCCGGGGGAUAGCCCUUGGAAAUGAGGAUUAAGACCCGAUACGUGGCGCUUCCGCAUGGCGGCGCCAUGAAACGAGACCGGAGAUGGGGACGCGUCGGAUUAGCUUGACGGCGGGGCAACGGCCCACCGUGGCGACGAUCCGCAGGGGUUCUGAGAGGAAGGUUUCCCCCACACUGGCACUGAGACACGGGCCAGACUCCUACGGGAGGCAGCAGUGAGGAAUAUUGGUCAAUGGCCGAGAGGCUGAACCAGCCAAGUAGCGUGCCAGGACGACGGCCCUACGGGUUGUAAACUGCUUUUGCGGGAGGAUAAAGUGCACUACGUGUAGUGCUUUGCAGGUAUCCCGUGAAUAAGGACCGGCUAAUUCCGUGCCAGCCGCUGC